rnacentral:tRNA from 1 species
UGGGGGAUCGUACAAUGGCAGUACGCCAGACUCUGGAUCUGGUUAUCAAGGUUCGAAUCCUUGUCCCCCAGCCA